rnacentral:rRNA from 1 species
GACGAACGCUGGCGGCGUGCUUAACACAUGCAAGUCGAACGAAGUGGCGAACGGGUGAGUAACGCGUAAUCAACCUGCCCUUCAGAGGGGGAGAACAGUUGGAAACGACUGCUAAUACCGCAUACUGAAGGAGGGGAUUGCGUCUGAUUAGCUAGUGGGAGGGGUAACGGCCCACCAAGGCGAUGAUCAGUAGCCGGUCUGGGAUGGUGAACGGCCACAUUGGGACUGGAAUACGGCCCAAACUCCUACGGGAGGCAGCAGUGGGAAAUAUUGCACAAUGGGGGAAAACCUGCUGCAGCAACGCCGCGGUAAUAC